GCCAGCUGCACAAACACAGGCUGGGAACGGCCGGGUAGGCAGCGGCACUGCUGAGAAGGGGAUCUGGAUUCGACGGGUCACAAGCCGAAUGCGGUUCAGGGAAAGGCAAAUCUCAGACUGCAAUAUAAACAAGUGUACAGCCUGCAAGGUACACGAAGGAACUCACCCACCCUUGGCACUGACUGCACCUCUCUCAGAUGGGGCAUGUGGCCUAUGCAAGACAAAAGCUAAUUACAGAGAGGAGCAACUGAUUUUGAGUCAGGGUUAGCCUCGGGUGGGCAUCCUGUCGCAUCUGAAUGCCCAGAAGAGACUUUGGAAAGCAAAAGCAGAAAACUGCUGGGUGAGGGACGGGUCAAACAACAAGGGGAGGGAGAAACAAACAGCGAGAGAUCAAAGCCAAGCCCAGCUCAGCUCACUGUGGUGAGCUGGCCUGAGCGCUUCUGUCCUCAGGGCCAGAGGGCACCUUCCUGAUGAGUGCAUUCUCUUUCCAGCAGAGAGGGAGAUGUGGCUUCUCCUUAGCUUCCCUCCCCAUCCCUCUCAUGGACUCCUUGGAGGUUUCUGCCUUGGUUUGCCAACGUGAGACUGCACGCUAAACGGAAGAACCUGGGAAAACGCAUUUUGCUCCCUGUGGAGCAAAUCCAACCCACCACAGACACCCGAAGUCACGCAAGGGUACCCCAGGGAAGAUGGCCCUUUCAGAGCCUCCCUGGCCAGAGAACACAGUGUGCUGUGGAGCCAGGAGCCCGGGCCUGAGGGAGGAUCUAGCCCAUCCUGCAUCAUAAGGGACCUGAAAGGUUCAGCAUGGACCACAGCGGGAGACACAGUCCUCAGAGGAGAUCCUCUUCUCAGAGUCAGAUGGUGGGGAAGUGAGUGGAGAGAGAAGUGGUGGUUGAAACUACUCCCCAACAAACUAUUAUCAGCAGAAAGCCUUCAUUCUGAUGCAUCACCUGCAGCUGCAACGAAUUGAAGGAAAAACUUGAAGCCCUUCCUCAGAUUUCUGGAGCUUGUGCAAGGUAUCUAAGGGAACAGUCCAGUUUCUGGAAACAAGACAAGUAAGCCAAAAGCACAGAAGUAAAGACCUGGAGAUGGAAAGACCUGGGAUAGCUGUUUCUACAUUCUAACAUAUUUAGACUCAAGUAACAGGAAAGCUGCUCAGCUUGCCUGAUCUACCUUUACAGAAAAGGACUAGGACUGUAGAUGCAGGAGCUAGAAACUCUCUCUAGUCCCUGACUCCUGCUUGUUUUCAGCGUCAGUGUCUUGUGGUCUUGGACCAAUUCUGUGUUGUUCAAAAAGACUGUGCCUUCUCUAAGCCAACUUUACAUGUGAUGACAUGUCACAGGAAGAGGUUCUUCAGAUACUUCUGGGAAGCAAACCAGACUUGGUCUCAGCGCUCUUCCAACUGUAAUUCUCAGGCUCCAGAAAAUGGUUCUUCCUUUGAAUACACCCUUUGAGGCUUCUCUGUUAUUGCUGUGGUACUAGGGAGGGGGCAAAGCAUUCGGACAUUUUUGAGUCUGUGGGAGAAACAGGAGCAUACAGAGGAAAGAGGAAAACAAGAGCUUACAGAAAACUCCUUGUACUUCCAAACAACUUAGUUAGAGCUGGUAAUUAAAGAAGUAAAGGUAUGCAGUGCAUUAUCCCAACGCUUGCCUCUUCAAUGAAGGAAGAUUUGGAUUAUGCAUUCUGACGUGUAACAAGGUCCACUGGUUUGGAACAAGAAGUCUGCCAAAAAGUACAGUGUUAGAAAGAAGAGCUGAAUAGAAGUCUGAAAUUACCUUGGUUCUAUUUCUGCAAGUGCAAAGAAUAUUAACACUACUCUGUGGGAAAAAAAAUCCAUCUUCAACAGAGGUUGUGGAGAAUGCAAGCCAUACUCCCCAAAUAUUUCCCUGGAUCUCAUUUUCCUUUGCCAGAUGCACUUCCUAACUGCCCCUCUCUGGGAAGGAAAAUCUGGGCAUAGUAAUGAUGGGUUCCUGAGUCACGUGACCACCUUCUUUAAGUAAGAUUUCAGAAGCACAUUAGACAGCUACAAGUUGUUUUCAUAAAUGGUGUCUUCUGCUGGCCCAGGUAUGUAAGCCGAUCGCUGCAUUGACUCUGAUGUCUGUCUAACAUCUUCAGACACAAAGUAUUAUGGCAUGGUGCAGAGGGCAUGGAAACUUGGACCAGGCACACAAGGAGACUCAGCACUGAUGCAAAGCUCCUAUUUGUGUCCAGAUCUCCAGUGCUACGCACUUAAACACACACAGCCAGGGCCAGUUCUCCCCAGCUCACAAACAGCCUUUUCUAACUUUCUGUGUGAAGAAAUAGGCAGGGAUGCCAUCACCAGUAGACUACAGAGAUGAUAAACUCAUUACAAUAUUACAGAGAAAUAAACUUACUGGUUUCCAGUCUGCCAGUGGCUGUGCACAAGUUUAGCUCUGAUGAAGUGAAGCACCUAGAGAUUUCAGCUCAGCAGGAGCUUAAAGUUAAGCAUAUGCUUGAGGCUUUCGUUGAGUGACAUCGAAAAGGACUAUAUCUGCUAUAAGGAUGCAAAUUUAAUUUUGAAAAGGUGGGUCUGUUAAAAGAAGACUCAUCCUGCAGACAUGGCGAGCUGCAAACAGGGAUGGUUGAGUACAAAUCUCUUAGAUACCCUCUGGACGCAGGAUCUACGCUAUCUUUUCUUGUGUGCAUGUGGAAUGGGACAGAUAAUGAUAUUCCGCAAAAAGUUUGAUUUCGCUUGCUUGCUUGUUUGUUUUUCAAUCCUGGAAUGCUUCUUCUGAUUUUAGAAAUAUUAUGUUGUGCUGGGUACUAAAAUGCCUAGUUAAAAAGACUGUGGUCUUUCGUGUGUAUGUAACUUCUAUAACCUCUUUGCUGUUGCAUGCGUAAGCGCUUGAAGGAGUGUUUGUGCAGAGCUAAGCAAACAUAUGAAAACAUUUCUGUGUAUAUGAAUUUCAUUCAAACACAGAUUUCAGUGUAACUGUGUUUGCAACCUUUUACGACUUUCUUUUGCACCUGUGUUCAAGUGGUAGCGCUUGACUGAUCAUGAAAGCAGAUACUGUGCUCAAAUAUGUCCUACAAGUUUCACAGUCUAUACUUGAUUGCAAUAUUCAGAAUACAUAAUUUGUCUGGGGUUAGUUUAGUUCUUAAGUCUUCAAGAAGGAAGCAAAACAACAGUUUUCGCCUUCAUUCCCUCUAGCUGCCAGAGCCUAAAAUAAUUCCCUCAUUCAUGGAGAAGCAAUGGAUGUAAUUCACAUUCAUUAUUGGUAUGUCAUUCACAGUCCAUGCAUCCAUAGUACCUCGUCUCUUCCUCUUGCACCUCCACUUCUCCAGCUCAGUGAGGAUGGAAGGGUGCCUAAUGACAUGGUCUGCUCUCAUCUAACCUGCAAUCCAUGUCAACCCUCAUGGCUGCUCCAGCAUGAGAUCAGCAGCUGAGCUCGGUGAUAUGCAAGAGCAUUGUAGCACCUGUAGUCAUGACAACACUGGGCACACGCUUGAAAAGAGCAGUACCACUAGGAAGAGCCAAACCACAGAUCAGCCACGCUGAGCAUCUGGAUUUUGGAACCAGGAGGCCUCCAAGAAACUGCAACUCACUACUGCACUGAAAAGCACAGCAAAUCUGGGUCUUCUUAGUCUAACCCAGUGCAAUAGCUUAGUGGGCCAGGCUGUAAUGGGAAAGCCAUAGCAUGUCAUGGGUGCCCAGCUGGGAGGCCACACAGUACGGUAGAUCAAUAGGAGAGAGAUGAAAUAUUCAUAAACACCUCCAAGCUAAAAAGCACUGACUGCUGUUUGCUCUGCUCUGUGAGGUCAUGUCUGUCCUUAUUCUGAAGUAUCUGUAUAUCUGCUUUUUACUUGAGAAAAAUUAGGGGGAUUCCAAAAGUUUGGCCUAAUUUAGCCACAAACUCCUCCUGAAAGCGCAUUAUUUGUUACUUUCUGAUAACUUGCUGAGAUUUCUGGCUCUCCAGCCUAAGAACAGGAACAUCAACGUGCGAGUUCAAUGCCUAUCCUCUCGCCUGGUGCCACGACAGGCAAAAGCCAACUGUUAGGCAGCAGAUUGUCAGCAAAGAGCCAUCCAUUCUGCCCAGCAAAUACAGUCACAGAGCAGCAGGCUCAGGGGGACAGUGUCUCUCACCAGCCUUUUGCAGUGACUGCUACCCCUAACAACAUCUUCUUCAGCUCUAGCAAUUCCUUGAAACACAGGCAGCAUGACAGUUCUUUGCUUGGCGCUCAGGCUCAGACCUCCUAGUCAGGAAGGACGCUGCGUAGCUGGCUGACACCUCCCCAUCACUCUCCUCGGUGGCCUGCGAUUUGCUCCCUGGGCACAAACCCUUCCCAGCUUCUCCAGCGGAGAGCUUUCGAAGAGAUGGGGUAGACUCCAUCACUCUCCCAUGACUCCUAUUACAGCUGUCACCCAGCUACCCUUCAUUCAUGCACCUUCCCUUCACAAUAUGGCUCUUUUCUUCUACAGGCCAUAUGUUUCUAGUUUUACAGAGGUGAAAAAAAUCUGUGCAAACAUUGAACUCCUGCAAACAGCAAACCACUCCAUUCCAGACCUAUUUCUGCUAAAUAUCCCAGAGACCUGCAGCUCCUGGCUGCACACCUAUACCAUCUCCUGUCCUGCUGUUAAUACUCCUCACAUGCUUUCAUGUAAGUGAUGGAGAAGUGUGUCAGGCUGGGGAAAAGACAGAUCACGAGUAUUUCUGGCCCUGACAUUUUCCUCCAGAUAUCUGGAUUUCCAUAUAUUUGAAAACCUAAUAUAAACAACAGAGAGAAAAUUUGCAUUUCGGGCAGUGAGGAAUGAAAAAUGGAGGCGGCGUAAUGUAUUGCUGCUCAAAGAAGAGGAAUGACAGUGGUAAAGUCGAGCACACACGACAGCACCCAAUCGGCUUGUGGCAAACUCAUUUCCUGGCAGAAUAUAGGGUUUCAUCUGCUGGAACAUUUAAUAGGCAUCAAAGAAAGAUCACUUCCCUCCUCUCAGUGCAGAUUGAGAGCCUUCGCUCUUGCUUUAUUUUUGCCAUUUUAUUAAACCCUUUAUAUAGUUUUAAUACAAUAUGUA